rnacentral:rRNA from 1 species
CGCGAUUCGCCCUUCGGGGCGCAGCAGGCGCGAAAACUUUACAAUGCGGGAAACCGUGAUAAGGGGACACCGAGUGCCAGCAUCAUAUGCUGGCUGUCCAGGUGUGUAAAAUACACCUGUUAGCAAGGGCCGGGCAAGACCGGUGCCAGCCGCCGCGGUAACACCGGCGGCCCGAGUGGUGAUCGUGAUUAUUGGGUCUAAAGGGUCCGUAGCCGGUCUGGUCAGUCCUCCGGGAAAUCUGACGGCUCAACCGUUAGGCUUUCGGGGGAUACUGCCAGGCUUGGAACCGGGAGAGGUAAGAGGUACUACAGGGGUAGGAGUGAAAUCUUGUAAUCCCUGUGAGACCACCUGUGGCGAAGGCGUCUUACCAGAACGGGUUCGACGGUGAGGGACGAAAGCUGGGGGCACGAACCGGAUUAGAUACCCGGGUAGUCCCAGCCGUAAACGAUGCUCGCUAGGUGUCAGGCAUGGCGCGACCGUGUCUGGUGCCGCAGGGAAGCCGUGAAGCGAGCCACCUGGGAAGUACGGCCGCAAGGCUGAAACUUAAAGGAAUUGGCGGGGGAGCAC